UACCAUGGACUCACAUUAUUCAUGAAGAACUCACAUACUUAUUGCAAAAGUUUUUAUUAGUAAUCGAAACAAAGUGCUAGACGCAUACUCCUAGGGGAAGGGUUGGUAGGUGUUAACCAUCGCACGAUCCCGACCGCAACACAAAGGAUGACAAUCAAUAAAUCAAUUAUGCUCCGACUUCCUAACAUAGCGGUUCACCAUACGUGCAUGUUGCGGGAAUCACUAACUUCAACACAAGUAUUUCUAGAUUCACAACACCCUACUAACAUAAC
rnacentral:lncRNA from 1 species